rnacentral:lncRNA from 1 species
UUUGUCUUACAGGUGAAAGACUUCUGGCCCCGAUAUUGGGGUGGUGUUGUACUCUAUGAUCGGGAAAGGCAAUUCUUCAAAGCUCUUGGAGGCGGAGAACUGCUAAAGGACAAGUUCAUAUCAGGAUUUAUUUUGAACCCACGAGCUAUUGCAAAUUACAAGCGUGCAAAAGCUAUGGGAAUAAAGCAAAACUUCAAAGGGGAAGGAGAGAUUAAAGGUGGCCUCUUCAUAAUUGGCAGAGGAAAAAGUGGCAUUGCUUACCAGUUUAUUGAAAGGAAUUUUGGUGAUUGGGCUCCUGUAGCUGAAGUAAUUGACAUUUGCAGCAAGUUGCAGGUAAUACUUGUCAGCUUCCCCUAACCCGUUGAUGAGUUGCCAUCCAAUAUGCAUUUACUUUAAACAACUUUUCUACUUCUGAUGCAGAACCAGCAGCAAAGUCAAGAGAAAUCCAUCAAAAUAUAACAGGAAUAAAAGAAGUUUGUCAUAAUUAUCCAUAAUUUCUUCUGAUUCACCUUCUAUUAUAUUUCUGUUCCUUGUAAUUCAGGAUAGAAGAAAUGAUCAUGUUCUUUUCUGAUCUUAUCCACAUUAG